GCAAACCGAAGGAUUUAUCCUUCGGGGUUGUGGACCGACACAACGGCAGGAUAGGUUAGCCGAACGGUAUGGGAAGGCCGGCCAUAGCGGGUGAGAGCCCCGUAGGCGAAAACCGAAUCUUGUUAGUCGAGUUCCAGAGUACCGCCGGACACGUGAAACCCGGUGGGAAACUGGGGGGACCACCCUCCAACCCUAAAUACUACCUGAUGACCGAUAGAGGAGCAGUACCGUGAGGGAAAGGUGAAAAGGACCCCGGGAGGGGAGUGAAAGAGAACCUGAAACCUUGUGCUUACAAGCACUCAAAGCACGUUAAAGUGUGAUGAGGUACCUUUUGUAGAAUGGUCCGGCGAGUUAUUGUUACUGGCAAGCUUAAGGUAUUCAGUACCGGAGGCGAAGGGAAACCGAGUGUGAACAGCGCGUAUGAAGUCAGUGGCAAUAGACCCGAAACCGGGUGACCUAUCCAUGGGCAGGUUGAAGUGGGGGUAAAACCCCAUGGAGGACCGAACACACGCCCGUUGCAAUGGUCGGUGAUGACCUGUGGAUAGCGGUGAAAUUCCAAUCGAACUCGGAGAUAGCUGGUUCUCCCCGAAAUAGCUUUAGGGCUAGCGUUAACUUAGAUUACCGGAGGUAAAGCACUGAAUGGGCUAGGGGCCGAUAAGGUUACUGAACCCUAUCAAACUCUGAAUGCCGGAUAAUUGAUGGUUAGCAGUCAGUCUACGUGAGAUAAGUCUCGUGGACAAAAGGGAAACAGCCCAGACCCACAGCUAAGGUCCCAAAGAUACGCUAAGUGGAAAACGAUGUGGAGUUGCGAAAACAACCAGGAUGUUGGCUUAGAAGCAGCCACUCAUUAAAAGAGUGCGUAAUAGCUCACUGGUCGAGUGACUCUGCGCGGAAAAUAUAACGGGGCUAAGCGUAACACCGAAGCUUGGGCUUGUCGUAAGACAGGGGUAGGGGAGCGUCGUGUACGGGGUGAAGUCGCAGCGGAAGCAGCGGUGGACUUUACACGAGUGAGAAUGCCGGAAUGAGUAGCGAGAAUUAUGUGGGAAUCAUAAUGGCCGAAAAUCUAAGGUUUCCUGGGGAAGGUUCGUCCGCCCAGGGUAAGCCGGGAGCUAAGGCGAGGCCGAGAGGCGUAGUCGAUGCACAUACGGUUGAAAUUCCGUAGCCACCGAACCUUAAGCACACUGACACAUGGAGAUAGCGGGACCCGGGCGUUGGUUGACCCGGGCG
rnacentral:rRNA from 1 species